rnacentral:rRNA from 1 species
AGUGAACGCUGGCGGUAGGCCUAACACAUGCAAGUCGAACGGAAGCACAGUAAGAGCUUGCUCUUACGGGUGGCGAGUGGCGGAUGGGUGAGGAAUACAUCGGAAUCUACUAAGUCGUGGGGGAUAACGGAGGGAAACAGACGAUAAUAGCGAAUACGAUGUACGGGAGGAAGCAGGGGAGCAACGGAGUUUGCGCGACUGAAAGAGCCGAAGUCGGAUUAGCUAGUUGGGGGGGUAACGGCACACCAAGGCGACGAUACGAAGCAGGUCUGAGAGGAUGAUCGGCCACACUGGAACUGAGACACGGUCCAGACUCCUACGGGAGGCAGCAGUAGGGAAUAUUCGGCAAUGGGCGCAAGCCUGAUCCAGCCAUGCCGCGUGAGUGAUGAAGGCCUUCGGAUUGUAAAGCCCUUUUAUUGGGAAAGAAAAUCAGCAGAUUUAUACCCCGCUGUUCUGACGGUACCCAAUGAAUAAGCCCCGGCUAACUUCGUG